UGGGGAAUAUUGGACAAUGGAGGAAACUCUGAUCCAGAGACACCGCGUGAGUGAUGAAGGCCUUAAUUGGUUGUAAAGCUCUUUUAGUAAAAGAAAUAAUGAUUUUUUACAGAAAAAGUACCGGCUAACUCUGUGCCAGCAGCCGCGGUAAUACAGAGGGUGCGAGCGUUGUUCGGAAUUACUGGGCGUAAAGCGCAUGUAGGCGGUAAUGUAAGUUUGAUGUGAAAGUUUAGGGCUCAACCCUAAAAUGCCAUUGAAUACUGCAAUACUAGAGAUCGGGAGAGGUAAAUGGAAUUCCUAGUGGUAAAGGUAAAAUUUGUCGAUAUUAGGAGGAACACCAGAGACGAAAGUGAUUUACUAGAACGAAUCUGACGCUGAGAUGCUAAAGCGUGGGGAGCAA
rnacentral:rRNA from 1 species